rnacentral:rRNA from 1 species
AGUGAACGCUGGCGGUAGGCCUAACACAUGCAAGUCGAACGGCAGCACAGUAAGAGCUUGCUCUUACGGGUGGCGAGUGGCGGACGGGUGAGGAAUACAUCGGAAUCUACUUUUUCGUGGGGGAUAACGUAGGGAAACUUACGCUAAUACCGCAUACGACCUACGGGUGAAAGCAGGGGAUCUUCGGACCUUGCGCGAUUGAAUGAGCCGAUGUCGGAUUAGCUAGUUGGCGGGUUAAAGGCCAACCAAGGCGACGAUCCGUAGCUGGUCUGAGAGGAUGAUCGGCCACACUGGAACUGAGACACGGUCCAGACUCCUACGGGAGGCAGCAGUGGGGAAUGUUGGACAAUGGGCGCGAGCCUGAUCCAGCCAUACCGCGUGGGUGAAGAAGGCCUUCGGGUUGUAAAGCCCUUUUGUUGGGAGAGAAACGCAGCAGGUUAAUACCCCGCUGUUCUGACGGUACCCAAAGAAUAAGCACCGGCUAACUUCGUG